rnacentral:rRNA from 1 species
AAGGAUCGGCUAACUCCGUGCCAGCAGCCGCGGUAAUACGGAGGAUCCAAGCGUUAUCCGGAUUUAUUGGGUUUAAAGGGUCCGCAGGCGGGAUAUUAAGUCAGUGGUGAAAGCCUACCGCUUAACGGUAGCACUGCCAUUGAUACUGGUAUUCUUGAGUGUGGUUGAAGUGGGCGGAAUAUGUCAUGUAGCGGUGAAAUGCAUAGAUAUGACAUAGAACACCUAUUGCGAAGGCAGCUCACUAAGCCAUUACUGACGCUCAGGGACGAAAGCGUGGGUAGCAAACAGGAUUAGAUACCCUGGUAGUCCACGCUGUAAACGAUGAUAACUCGCUGUUGGCGAUAUACAGUCAGCGGCCAAGCGAAAGCAUUAAGUUAUCCACCUGG